rnacentral:rRNA from 1 species
UACGGAGGUGGCUAGCGUUGUUCGGAAUUACUGGGCGUAAAGCGCGUGUAGGCGGGUCCUUAAGUCGGGGGUGAAAGCCCGGGGCUCAACCUCGGAACUGCCUUCGAUACUGAGGACCUGGAGUCUGGGAGAGGUGAGCGGAAUUCCGAGUGUAGAGGUGAAAUUCGUAGAUAUUCGGAGGAACACCAGAGGCGAAGGCGGCUCACUGGACCAGUACUGACGCUGAGACGCGAAAGCGUGGGGAGCAAACAGG